rnacentral:ncRNA from 1 species
UUUUAAAACGACCAAUGGAAUGGGAUGCCCAAUGUAAUUUGUAACAUAGUAAAUUUGGAGGGAUCUUGAAUCACCUGGUUCCCAUGCUAGUUACAUAUGAAAACAUUAUUUAAUACAAUGACAAAGCCUAGAAUCAAUUGUAAACGACUUUUGUAACGGGCAAGGUGUUGUAAGUGGUUGAGCAGCUGCCAUACUGCGAUCCACUGAAGCUUAUCCUUUGCUUGAUGAUUCGA